UGGGGAAUAUUGGGCAAUGGGCGAAAGCCUGACCCAGCAACGCCGCGUGAAGUAUGAAGGCCUUCGGGUUGUAAACUUCUUUGAUCAGGGAAGAAACAAAUGACGGUACCUGAAAAACAAGCCACGGCUAACUACGUGCCAGCAGCCGCGGUAAUACGUAGGUGGCGAGCGUUAUCCGGAUUUACUGGGUGUAAAGGGCGUGCAGGCGGGCUGAUAAGUCAGAUGUGAAAUCCCCGAGCUUAACUCGGGAACUGCAUCUGAUACUGUUGGUCUUGAGUGCUGGAGAGGAUAGUGGAAUUCCUAGUGUAGCGGUAAAAUGCGCAGAUAUUAGGAGGAACACCAGUGGCGAAGGCGGCUAUCUGGACAGUAACUGACGCUGAGGCUCGAAAGCGUGGGGAGCAAACAGG
rnacentral:rRNA from 1 species